AUGUACAUUCCUACAACAUAGCAUUAAUGCAAUGGAUCCCAUUAGAACUUCGCAUUUAAGCACGCUCGGGCUAUAUUAGUACUGGGAUGGGUGAUCGUCCAAGAAGCCCUAAUAUUUUACAUG
rfam:Picea glauca, whole genome shotgun sequence.